rnacentral:lncRNA from 1 species
GGCAAGAUGAGGAGGCAAUAUGGCUUCAACCAAGUUCUACAGGAAGAUUAGGAGCCUGGAUGUUUGUUGAGAAGAUUCUCAAUAAAGUUCUAGAGCCUGGUGAGAAACAUUGCACGUCUGUAUUGGAUUCAAGAAGAAUUUAUAAACAUCAUCUAUACCCACAAGCCUCAACAAACUUUGAAGUCAUACAAAUGCCCCACGAUCUAAAGAAGAACAGAAGCACAGAGAAAUUUGUGAGGAAAUUUGCAGUAAGCAAAACUGGUUACUGAAUGUCUUCAAUAGAAAAUUAUGCAUUGUUCAGAGCACAGUCUUCUAGGUUAUCUGAUUUAAGCCUAUCAUUGCCUUGAAGCUUUUACAACUCUUAUAAGUUGUAGAAAACUGAUAAUGAGGUAAAAUAAUUGCUUACUGACAAUUCUUGUUUAUCCAUAUGAAAUAAAUUCUCACCAAUGUGGUUUGGUUGACUUCCUUUCCCCACGAAGGAAUAGCAUUUUGAAACCACUUGCAAAUUCAUUUCAGUAUUCCUGAUUUAUAAAUGCGUUUGUUCUUUGGAUUAUCUUUUGAAUUAGCUGUAAUAGCUUUUCCAGUUCCCGCAUUUAAUUAAUGAGUUAAAUAAAAUCUUUGACAUUUGUUCACUUCAUUUACAUAUGAGUCAUAUUACUUUAAAAAAUUACUCUUUAUAGAUUUAUGGAACAAAACGUGCCACCACUUUCAGACUGAAGUCUUCAAUUUUUACUGAAAAUUAAAUCUAGCCAUUAGAUUAAAUUUAAGUGAAUUUAUAUAUUCCUGUUACAUACUCCUGGAAUAGGGCUCUCAUAUGAAAGUAUUAAUCGCUGCAUAUAUGGACUGACAGUUCAAGGUUAUUAAAUGCACUGUUUUUCCACAGUAUCCUCAUUUUUUAGGACUUCUGUCUGGAAAGCUUUCUAGAACAGCUCUUCUCCUGACCUAAGGAAAAACUUGGAUACAGCCAUAAGAAAUGUGAAUUCAUUUGGCUUGCUUUGUGAAUUAUCACAUACAUCAAAGCUAAGAUUGACAGCAUUAUUCUAAAAAUAACUAAUAGCUUAAUGACAAUGCAAUGGCUACUACAUUCAAACAACCUGACGAUUUACAUUGUAAGUAAAUCACUGGACAGGGAUGUGAGCUGCCCAGUUCUUUACCUAGAGGAUGAGGACUAAAGUUCUACAAGACCAAAGUUCUAAUUUCAGGUAACCCCUCAUCCCCAGGGGCUUCCCUGGUGACUCAGACGGUGAUGCAGGAGAUCUGCCUGCAAUGCAGAAGAUCUGGGUUUGAUCCCUGGGUCCCAAAGAUCCCCUGGAAAAGGGAAUGGCAACCCACUCCAGUAUUCUUGCCUGGAGAAUUCCAUGGACAGAGGAGCCUGGCAGGCUAUAGUCCAUGGGGGCCAGAAAGAGUCAGACACGACUAAACAGCUAACAUUUUCACUUUCCUCAUCCCCAUAUACUCAGGCCCUGGACAAAGUUGAGAAGAAAUUAGGGUAUGCCUUUGCUAUAUUUUAGUUGUCAAUUUCUGCCAAAGCAUUUCGACUGCCUCAACAGUCAAUACCCUCUAACCUAGUCAAGCAAGCCAAAUGAAUUCAUAUUUGCUAUGGCUGUAUCCCAGUUUUUCCUUAGCUCUGGAGCAGAGAUGGUCUAGAAAACUUUCCAGGUAGAAGUCAUAAAAAAUGAGGAAACUGGAAAAAUAGUGCAUUUAAUAACCUGCUGUCAGGAGAAGAUUUUGAAUAACUCUUUCACAUUAAAAUAUCAUAAUCUUAUCUUUCCCAAGAGGGGUUUUAUUUUAAAAGUGAAUUACAACCCCUGAGUUUACAGUCAACUGAUCUUUGACAAACAGCAAAGGCAAUAAAUUGAGAAAGGGUAGUCUUUUCAGAAAAUGGUGCUAAACAACAGGAUAUGCACAUGCAAAAUGCGAAUCUAGAUACAGACCUUAGAGUUCUCACAAAAAUUAACUUAAAAUGGGUCAAGAUCUAAAUGUAAAAUGAAAACUACAAAACUCCUAGAAGAUAACAUAGGAGAAAAAUCUGUGACCUUGGGGUUGGGUGGUGACUUCUUAGAUACCCCAUCAAAAACAUAAUCCAUCAGAGAAAAAAUUAAAAAGUUGAACUUUGUUAAAAAUUAAAACUUCCAUCUUGAGAAAGACAUUUUCAAGAGAAUCAAAUAUAUGCCAUAGACUGGAAAUAUAAACCAUAGCCCAUACAUAUCUGAUAAAGGACUUCUGUCCAAAAUGUACAAAGAACUUUUAAAAUUUAACAGUAAGAAACCAAACAACUCAAUUUUAAAAAUGGGCAAGAGACCUGAACAGACAUUUCACCAGAGAAGACAGCAAUGGUACAUAAGAAUAUGAAAAUGUGCUCAACAUUGUAUAGUAUCAGGGAAAUACAAAUUAAAACAAUAAUGAGAUGCCACUCCACACCUAUUAGAAUUUAAAGUCCAAAACAGUGAUAACACCAAGUGCAGUUGGAAGUCUCAUUCAUUGCUGGUAAGAAAGCAAAAUGAUAAGUCAUUUUGGAAGACAGCUUAGCAGUGUUUUAUAGGCUAAAUAUACCAUAUAACCUGGCAAUUGCACUUCUAGAUAUUUAUUCAAAAAAGUUGAAAAUAUGUCCACAUGAAAACCUGCACACAAAACUUAUAGAAUCUUUAUAUUCAUAAUUGCCAAAAACCUGGAAACAACCAAAUGUCCUUCAAUAAGUGAGUGGAUAAACCGUGGUAUAUCCAUACAAUGGAAUAUUCAGUGAUAAGAAGAAAUAAGCUUUUAAGCCAUAGAAAUAAGCUAUCAAGGCAUAUGGAUAAAUCUUACAUGCACACUGCUAAGCUUCAGAAGCCAAUCAGAAAAGGAUAUAUACAAUAUAAUCACAACUAUAUGACAUUUUGGAAAAGGCAAUACUGUGGAGACAGUGAAAAGAACAGUGGUUGAGAGGAGUUUAGCGACAGGGAGGAAUAAAUAACUGGAGCACAGAAGAUUUUUAGGGUGGCCAGACUAUUCUGUUUAAUACUGCAAUGGUGGUUACCUGACAUUAUGUAUUUGCCACAACCCAGAGAACUGUUCAGACAUGAACCCUAUUAUAAACUAUGUUGUUUAGUCGCCAAGUUGUGUCCAACUCUUUUUUGACCCCAUAGACUGUAGCCCACUAGGCUACUCUGUCCAUGGGAUUUCCCAGCAAGAAUACUGGAGUAGGUUGCUAUUUCCUACUCCAGGGGAUCUUCCUGACCCAGGGAUCGAACCCAAGUCUCCUGUAUUGCAGGCGUAUUCUUUACUACUGAGCCAACACAACAGAGAAGCCCCAUUAUAAACUACAGACUUUAGUAAAAAUAAUAGAUCAGUAUUGGCUCAUCAGUUACAAAGAAUGUAUCACACUAAUGCAAGAUGUUAAUAGUAGGAAAAAUCAUGUGCAGAGCUGGAAUGAGAAUGGGUAUAUUUUGUGUGCAGUUUUUCUGUAAACCAAAAGUUUCUCUAUAAACGAAACCUAUUAAAAGAGAAAUUCAAGCUGAGUAAAAUGUGAAUUAUACUAGCUGUUCAAAAGUGUGAAUCACUAGUUGUGAAAUACUGACAGAUGUUUCGGAACAAGCAAUCCCCCAUACAUUGCUUCAUUCACAUGAAAUAGAAGCAAGCAUUCCUCCUAUCAGUAAUGGGAACUUCCUGAGUAAUGGGACCAUAGAGCAAUGUUACUCCCUUCUUUCCUCUCUUCUGCUUAUGUCCCAGAUUCAUUGACGGGCAAAUAUUAGCAUUGAUUCAUAAAUCCUUACACAUUUUGCCACACUUUUUGCAAAUAAAAGUUACUAUCACUUGCAUUCCAAACUUAAAACCCAGAUAAAAACUCUUCCUAUUCCUCCAAGCUCACCAAUCCUUUGUGUCCAACACAGUCGGCAUUCUAUUCCACCACUCUUCAUUCUCCAUUAUAAUAUGUACUCUAGGAACAUUUUCUAGCUCUGAUCUUUUGGUUGUUGUUGUUGAUUUGCUAAGUCAUGUCCGACUCUUUGCAACCCCAUGGACUGCAGCACACCAGACUUCUCUGUCCUCCACUAUCGACUUUGCUCAAAUACAUAUCCACUGAGUCGGUGAUCCUACCUAACCAUCCCAUCCUCUGCUGAUCCCCUCUCCUUUUGCCUUCAAUCUUUCCCAGCAUCAGGGCCUUUUCUAAUAACUUGGCUCUUUGCAUCAGGUGGCCAAAGUAUUAGAGCUUCAGCUUCAACAUCAGUCCUUCCAACAAAUACUCAGGACUGAUUUCCUUUAGGAUUGACUGGUUUGAUAUCUUGCAGCCCAAGAAACUCUCAAGAAUCUUCUCAAGUACCACAAUAUGAAAGCAUCAAUUUUUUGGUGCUUAGACUUCUUUACGGUCCAACUCUCACAUCCAUACGUGACUACUGGAAAAACCAUAGCUUUGACUAUAUGGACGAUCGUUGGCAAAGUGAUGUCUCUGCUUUCUAAUAUGCUGUAUAGGUUUAUCAUAGCUUUUCUUCCAAGAAGCAAACGUCUUUUAGUUUUGUGACUGCAACCACCAUAUUGAUUGAUUUUGAAGACUAAGAAAAUAAAAUCUGUCACUGCUUCCAGUUUUCCUCCUUCUGUUUGCCAUGAAGUGAUUGGGCUGGAUG